AGUCAAUUAUGAUAUUAAAUUGCAAAUUUAAAGGUAAAAAUUUUAAGGCUU
rnacentral:tRNA from 1 species